rnacentral:rRNA from 1 species
GACAGAGGGGGCAAGCGUUGCUCGGAAUUACUGGGCGUAAGGGGCGCGUAGGCGGGAUGGCAAGUCGGUCGUGAAAUCCCUAGGCUCAACUGAGGAUCGUCGAUCGAUACUGCCGUUCUUGAGGAUUGCAGAGGAGACUGGAAUUCCCGGUGUAGCGGUGAAAUGUGUAGAGAUCGGGAGGAACACCGGUGGCGAAGGCGGGUCUCUGGGCAAUUCCUGAUGCUGAGGCGCGAAAGCGUGGGGAGCAAACGGG